UCCGUACUCCCCAGGCGGGGCGCUUAACGCGUUAGCUCCGGCACGGAGGGGGUCGAGUCCCCCCACAACAAGCGGGCACCGGUUACUGGCAGGACUACCCGGGUAUCUAAUCCCUUUUUGUACCCUGGGCUUCGUACCUCAACGUCAGUCUAUGUCCAGCAGGCUGCCUUCGCCAUUGGUCUUCCUCUCGAUAUCCUGCAUUUCACUGCUACACCGAGAAUUCCACCUGCCCCUCCAUGACUCCAGUCAGGCAGUAUCGCGUGCGGUUCCGGAGUUGAGCCCCGGGAUUUCACACCUGACUUACCUGACCGCCUACAUACUCUUUACGCCCAGUGAUUCCCAAUAACACUCGGGACCUUC
rnacentral:rRNA from 1 species